GGAUCCAGACUUUGAUUAUGGCUCAGGAUGAACGUUGGCGGCGUGCCUAACACAUGCAAGUCGAACGAAGCUUGACGGAUGAUUUCUUCGGAAUGAAACCAGAUAUGACUUAGUGGCGGACGGGUGAGUAACACGUGAGCAACCUGCCUUUCAGAGGGGGAUAACGGCUGGAAACGGUCGCUAAUACCGCAUGAUGUGUUCGGAUGGCAUCAUCUGAACAUCAAAGAUUUAUCGCUGAAAGAUGGGCUCGCGUCUGAUUAGAUAGUUGGUGGGGUAACGGCCUACCAAGUCUACGAUCAGUAGCCGGACUGAGAGGUUGAACGGCCACAUUGGGACUGAGAUACGGCCCAGACUCCUACGGGAGGCAGCAGUGGGGAAUAUUGCACAAUGGGGGAAACCCUGAUGCAGCAACGCCGCGUGAAGGAUGACGGUUUUCGGAUUGUAAACUUCUUUUCUUAGUGACGAAGACAGUGACGGUAGCUAAGGAAUAAGCAUCGGCUAACUACGUGCCAGCAGCCGCGGUAAUACGUAGGAUGCAAGCGUUAUCCGGAUUUACUGGGUGUAAAGGGAGCGCAGGCGGGACUGCAAGUUGGAUGUGAAAUACCGUGGCUUAACCACGGAACUGCAUCCAAAACUGUAGUUCUUGAGUGAAGUAGAGGCAAGCGGAAUUCCGAGUGUAGCGGUGAAAUGCGUAGAUAUUCGGAGGAACACCAGUGGCGAAGGCGGCUUGCUGGGCUUUAACUGACGCUGAGGCUCGAAAGUGUGGGGAGCAAACAGGAUUAGAUACCCUGGUAGUCCACACUGUAAACGAUGAUAGCUAGGUGUGGGGGGUCUGACCCCUUCCGUGCCGGAGUUAACGCAAUAAGCUAUCCACCUGGGGAGUACGACCGCAAGGUUGCAACUCAAAGGAAUUGACG
rnacentral:rRNA from 1 species